rnacentral:rRNA from 1 species
UGAAUACGAGAUGCUACGGCGUCGAAGCAGUCUAUGUCAUACUUCCAAGAAAAGCUUGCACUGUCAUAAACAAAUAAUGCCUGUACCAUAACCGACACAGGUGGGUAGGUAGAGUAUACUAAGGGGCGCGGGAUAACUCUCUCUAAGGAACUCGGCAAAAUGACUCCGUAACUUCGGGAGAAGGAGUGCCUUAUUUUAUAAGGUUGCAAUAACAAGACCCAAGCAACUGUUUACCAAAAACACAGGUCUCCGCUAAGUCGUAAGACGAUGUAUGGGGGCUGACGCCUGCCCAGUGCCAGAAGGUUAAAGAAGUUGGUUAGCGCAAGCGAAGCUGAUAACUGAAGCCCUGGUGAACGGCGGCCGUAACUAUAACGGUCCUAAGGUAGCGAAAUUCCUUGUCGGGUAAGUUCCGACCCGCACGAAAGGCGUAAUGAUUUGGGUACUGUCUCAGAGAGGGGCUCGGUGAAAUAGACUUGUCUGUGAAGAUGCGGACUACCUGCACCAGGACAGAAAGACCCUAUGAAGCUUUACUGUAACUUGAAAUUGAAAUUGGACUUUACUUGCGCAGUAUAGGUGGGAGGCGUUGAUAAUAUUCUUGCGGGAAUAUUGGAGCCAUCAGUGAGAUACCACUCUUGUAAUGUUAGAUUUCUAACUUUGUAUCAUUAUCUGGUCAAAGGACAGUUUCAGGCGGGCAGUUUGACUGGGGCGGUCGCCUCCCAAACGGUAACGGAGGCGCACAAAGGUUUCCUCCGAACGGGUAGAAAUCGUAUCUAGAGUGUAAAGGCAUAAGGAAGCUUGACUGUGAGACCUACAAGUCGAGCAGGGACGAAAGUCGGUCUUAGUGAUCUGACGGUGCUGAGUGGAAAGGCCGUCACUCAACGGAUAAAAGUUACUCUAGGAUAACAGGCUGAUCUCCCCCAAGAGUUCACAUCGACGGGGAGGUUUGGCACCUCGAUGUCGGCUCAUCGCAUCCUGGGGCGGUAGUACGUCCCAAGGGUUGGGCUGUUCGCCCAUGAAAGCGGUACGCGAGCUGGGUUCAGAACGUCGUGAGACAGUUCGGUCCAUAUCCGGUGUAGGCGUUAGAAUAUUGAGAGGAGCCUUCUUUAGUACGAGAGGACCGAGAAGGACAUACCUCUGGUGUACCAGUUAUCGUGCCAACGGUAAACGCUGGGUAGCUAUGUAUGGAGUGGAUAACCGCUGAAAGCAUCUAAGUGGGAAGCCCACCUCAAGAUAAG